rnacentral:rRNA from 1 species
UUAAGCAUAUCACUAAGCGGAGGAAAAGAAACUAACAAGGAUUCCCUUAGUAACGGCGAGUGAACAGGGAAGAGCCCAGCACCGAAGCCUGUGGUCAUUUGAUCAUUAGGCAAUGUGGUGUUUAGGUCCUCUCGCUGGAGCACUGUACCACCCCGAGUCCAUCAAUGAGUACGGCAUGUGACUUGGCCCAGAGAGGGUGAAAGGCCCAUAAGGGUGGUAUACAGAUAUGUUUGUGCUCCUCUGAGUAGACCUUGGAGUCGGGUUGUUUGUGAAUGCAGCCCAAAGUGGGUGGUAAACUCCAUCCAAGGCUAAAUACUAACACGAGUCCGAUAGCGAACAAGUACCGUGAGGGAAAGUUGAAAAGUACUUUGAAGAGAGAGUAAACAGUGCGUGAAGCCGCUCAGAGGUAAACGGGUGGAGUUGAACUGCAAGCUUUGAGAAUUUAACUGGUGAGCGUUGGUAAUGCUUGGGUUGCAUGGUUGACCUUUGGAGUCUGCUUAGCUGCAGGUCCCGCUUCGGUGGGGUGCGCGAAAUCACUUGACAGGAGUUGUGCGCUCUGAAGGUUAUCGAGCCUGUUCGCCAGUGCAUUUUCUCAGAGUGGUCACCACGACCGGCAAUUUGUCUUUCUACUGUGGUUAAACCGGAUGCGUAUCGUUGUCAUGACUUUAUGCGUUCGGGAUGGCAGGUAGCCUGUGUCUGCUUGCGGAUACGGGUGUAAUCAGCUGACUGCAGUUUGAUUGUGCAUUGAGUCGGAGACGGCGGCUUUUGGUGCAUACGUGCGUGCCUGUCUGAUUGGCUUGUGCGGCCCUGGUCGGCAUGUUGCUCGUAAAAACGAGCCGGCUGAUGGGCUGCGCUUGUCUGAUUGGCGGUUGCGUAUGGAGCACGUUAAAGAGCCUAUAGUCUGUGGUGUAGUGGUAGACUUUCCACCUGACCCGUCUUGAAACACGGACCAAGGAGAUUAACAUGUGCGCGAGUCAUUGGGCGUUACGAAACCCACAGGCGCAGUGAAAGUGAAGGUCCGACUUCGGCGGACUAAGGUGAGAUCCACUUGUUUCCCAUACUGCCAAGUAUCGAGCAGGUGGCGCAUCACCGGCCCGUCCCAUUGUUGAGACACUGUCUUCGUGACUGGUGCAUCGCAGGGGCGGAGCAUGAGCGCACAUGUUGAGACCCGAAAGAUGGUGAACUAUGCUUGCGUAGGUUGAAGCCAGAGGAAACUCUGGUGGAAGACCGUAGCGAUUCUGACGUGCAAAUCGAUCGUCAAACGUGAGUAUGGGGGCGAAAGACUAAUCGAACCAUCUAGUAGCUGGUUCCCUCCAA